rnacentral:rRNA from 1 species
UGGCAAGCGUUAUCCGGAUUUAUUGGGCGUAAAGGGAACGCAGGCGGUCUUUUAAGUCUGAUGUGAAAGCCUUCGGCUUAACCGGAGUAGCGCAUCAGAAACUGUUGAACUUGAGUGCAGAAGAGGAGAGUGGAACUCCAUGUGUAGCGGUGGAAUGCGUAGAUAUAUGGAAGAACACCAGUGGCGAAAGCGGCUCUCUGGUCUGUAACUGACGCUGAGGUUCGAAAGCGUGGGUAGCAAACAG